rnacentral:rRNA from 1 species
AAGCCAGCAACAACUCGAGUCAAAGUUCAUUCAAUAAUGAUCCUUCCGUAGGGUGAACCUGCGGAAGGAUCAUUAUUGAAUGAACUUUGACUCGAGUUGUUGCUGGCUUCUUGGAGCAUGUGCACACUUUGGUCCUCAUUCUAUUUAACCCCUCUUGUGCACUUUUCUGUAGAGCCCCUGAGAUGUUUAAAUGUUCAGGUGUUUCCUGAGUUGAAGGUUUGCUGUGCGAAAGUCAGCUUUCCUUCAGUUUUAUCUCUAGGGAUUCUAUGUAUUUUUAAUACACUCCUAAUGAAUGUAAUGGAAUGUUAUAUUGGUUUUUUGAACAUAAAUACAACUUUCAACAAUGGAUCUCUUGGCUCUCGCAUCGAUGAAGAACGCAGCGAAAUGCGAUAAGUAAUGUGAAUUGCAGAAUUCAGUGAAUCAUCGAAUCUUUGAACGCACCUUGCGCUCCUUGGUAUUCCGAGGAGCAUGCCUGUUUGAGUGUCAUUAAAUUUCUCAAUCCCUUCCUUUUUGUCUCUAAUGAACAAAGUAGGUUGGCAUUGGAAUGUGGAAGUUUGCAGGCUUCUUGUAAAGUCAGCUCUUCUGAAAAGUAUUAGCUUGGACGGUUUUGAGAAUAAAACUAGCAUUGGUGUGAUAAUUAUCUUACGCCAUUUGUGAAAAAUCUCAGACAGUUUAGCUUCUAACAUAAAACAUAUCAUCUUGGUUCUUUUGGACCUUGCUUUUAAUAAUUUGACCUCAAAUCAGGUAGGACAUAGCCCGCUGACUCUGUAAGCAUAUCAAUAGGCCGGAGGAAAAUCAUUAUUGAAUGAACU